UACAGAGGGUGCAAGCGUUAUUCGGAAUUACUGGGCGUAAAGCGCAUGUAGGUUGGAUACCAAGUCAGAUGUGAAAUCCCGGGGCUCAACUUCGGAAUUGCAUUUGAAACUGGUAUUCUUGAGUUUGGGAGAGGGAGACGGAAUUCCAGGUGUAGAGGUGAAAUUCGUAGAUAUCUGGAGGAACAUCGGCGGCGAAGGCGGUUUCCUGGCCCAUAACUGACACUCAGAUGCGAGAGCGUGGGGAGCAAACAGG
rnacentral:rRNA from 1 species